UGCCGGGUCGUCUAAUGGUAGGACAGCGGCCUUUGACGCCGUCAGUCGUGGUUCGAGCCCACGCCCGGCAGCGA
rnacentral:tRNA from 1 species